ensembl:lncRNA
GGAGUUGGACACGACUGAAGCGACUUAGCGGCAGCAGCAGCAGCAAGAAGACAUGCGCACCUGGUACUGCAUUCAGUCUGCAAUUUAAUGUGGUACUAUUCUGAAGGUUUUGGCAGCUUCUCCAGGAAGAGGCAGAGAGAAUGAUCUCUGUAAAUAUUUGCCAGUGGCAUUGAAUAGCAGUAAACAACCAAGCAACCAAUAAGGGAUUUGGAGACAGUUAAGAAGGUUGAAUGCCUGAAUGAGAAACGAUUGAUUAUUCCUCUUGCUGAAGGCUUAUGAAACCGUGAGAUGUAGACUUCUGCCUCUAAAUUGUAUCUCCAGCUCCAACCCUGUCUUCUUGGACAGUGCAGCUGAAUGUCUUCCUCAUUGUGUUACUUGGGCUCUGUUUCCAAAAAUCAGUCAACCAUAUAUGUGUGGGUCUAUUUCUAGACUUGAUUAUGAUCCAUUGACAUGUAUAUCUAUCCUUACAUCAUUCCCGCACUGUUUUGUCAUAUAGCCAAUUAUAGUCUCUAAGCUUAACCCAGCCCAUAUUGUGUUUCAUACAGCCUAUAAGCUAAAAAUGGCUUUUUUAUCUUUAAAGAGUUGUAUAUGGUGCACAAAGCCUUAAAUAUUUACUCUCUGGCCUUUUACAGAAAAAGUUGCUAAUUUUGUGGCAAGUCUUGAAAUAAGCUGUUAUAAUGUUGUUCUUCCAUAUCAGAUUUCCUCUGGAUAUUCUGGGUAUAUUACAU